UACAGAGACUGCAAGCGUUAUUCGGAUUCACUGGGCGUAAAGGGUGCGCAGGCGGCCGUGUGUGUCAGGUGUGAAAGCCCGGAGCUUAACUCCGGAAUUGCGCCUGAAACUACAUCGGCUAGAGCAUUGGAGAGGGUAGCGGAAUUCACGGUGUAGCAGUGAAAUGCGUAGAUAUCGAUGAGGAACACCAGAGGCGAAGGCGGCUACCUGGACAAUUGCUGACGCUCAGGCACGAAAGCGUGGGGAGCAAAAGGG
rnacentral:rRNA from 1 species